UCAACCUGGUUGAUCCUGCCAGUAGUCAUAUGCUUGUUUCAAGGACUAAGCCAUGCAUGCCUCAGAAUCACUGCAAUGCAGGAAUCUGCGCAUGGCUCAUUACAUCAGACGUAAUCUGCCGCAAAAAUUUUGCGGACUUUCCGCAUUAUUGGAUACCUUGGCGAAACGCCAAGUUAAUACAUGAACAAAAGGGG
rnacentral:rRNA from 1 species